rnacentral:rRNA from 1 species
UUACGGAAGGCAGCAGUUAGGAAUUUUGCGCAAUGGCCGCAAGGCUGACGCAGCAACGCCGCGUGAGGGAGGAAGGCCUUCGGGUCGUAAACCUCUUUUCUGGGGGAAGAUGAUGACGGUACCCCGGGAAUAAGCCCCGGCUAACUACGUGCCAGCAGCCGCGGUAAUACGUAGGGGGCGAGCGUUGUCCGGAUUUAUUGGGCGUAAAGGGCGCGUAGGCGGCGCCUUGAGUCGUGCGUGAAAGGCCCUGGCUCAACUGGGGAGGGUCGUGCGAUACUGGGGCGCUGGAGGGCGGAAGAGGGAAGCGGAAUUCCCGGUGUAGUGGUGGAAUGCGUAGAUAUCGGGAGGAACACCAGUGGCGAAGGCGGCUUCCUGGUCCGUACCUGACGCUGAGGCGCGAAAGCGUGGGGAGCGAACUGGAUUAGAUACCCCGGU